rnacentral:rRNA from 1 species
UACGGAGGGUGCGAGCGUUGUCCGGAAUCAUUGGGCGUAAGGGCGCGUAGGUGGCCCGGUAAGCGUGCGGUGAAAGCCUUGGGCGUCAACCCCGAGUCGGCCGUGCGAACUGCUGGGCUGAGCACUGGUAGAGGCAGGCGGAAUUCCGGGUGUAGCGGUGGAAUGCGUAGAGAUCCGGAAGAACACCGGUGGCGAAGGCGGCCGCUGGGCCAACA